CCCCCUCAAACUUGUCGCCAAAACUAACUUUAAACCUUAAACUAAUCGGAUAAUUAUAUACCCCCUUAACAACUUUUAAGUGAAUUAAUUUCCACCCAAAUUGCUGACGUGGCAAAUUAAAACAACAACAACAAGUGAAUGGCAUAAAAAACGUGAAAAAAAUGUGGGACCCACCUUUUUAAAUUUUACAAAUUCUCUUUAUAUAUAUAUAUAUAUAUAAACAUCUUCAUCACUUCUUCAUCUUCUUCACUUCUUCACUUCUUCAACCCGUCCCUCUCCCCCCCAAACACAUUGUUAUGAUCGAGAAUUUCUAACUGAAGUAGUUAAUCUUCUUCACUUCUUUAUCUUCUUCAACCCCUCCCCCCUCGUCCCCAAACAUAUUGUUAUGGUCGAGACUUUCUAACUAUAGGAGUUAGAAUUGAAGGUUAAAAUAAUAUUUUAAUGGAGAAAAAAUCUUCAAUUGAUAUCUUUAUGGUUGUUAAUUUUUUGGUGGUGUUAAUGGAGAAAAUGAAAAAAAAAAUGGAGGGAGAGGCAUUUUCGUGGCAUGAAUGGGGUUGGAAGGGGAGAAAUAAUGAUGUUAAUGGAGGAUUUGGGACCAAAAGUAUCUUUGUUGAGAAGUGCAAAUGAAGAGCGUAAUAAUGAUUGCCAUUGGGAAAAAUAUUUUUUUGGUGAUGAUGUAGAACUAAAAUGCUGCCUUUUCCGCAUAUGAGGAGUAAUUUAAACAGAAAUGUACUUGUAUUUGUGAAAAUGCAGGGGUGGUGUAGUAAUUUGUGAAAUGGAAGGUGAUCCUCAUCUCCGGCGACAAUGGUGAUGGUAGAAGAAAGUGUUGUGAAUUAAGAUGUUUUGAGAAUUUGGGGAUGUUGAAGUGUUUGGUGAAAUGGGGAUUGGACCAUCCUCCUCAGUGGCGGCGUCAAUGGCGGCGAUGGUGUUGAUGAUAGUGGUGAUCAGAGAAGAUGAAGAAGAUGGGCUAUGGGUUGGGAGGGUGAACUGGCAUGGGGUGGGGGUUAUUUUCCUUUUUUCCUUUUUACUAAAUUAUUAAAUAACAUUGUUUUUUAAAAUUAUGAUGUGGCGAUGACAUGACGUUGAUAUGACGCUGAUUUGGGCGAGAGUGCAACGCACUCUCUCUUGUGAGACUGGUAGUAUAAUUAUAUGGUGAAAAUUAAUUCACUUGAAAGUUGUUAAGAGGGUAAAUAAUUGCCCGAUUAGUUUAGGAUCUAAAGUAAGUUUUGACGACAAAUUUGAGGGUGUUUCGAUGUAUUAUCUCCUUCCAUUUUCAUAAUUCAUCUUCAUCUUCACAUUGUGUAAGCACAUGAAAUGAAUAAAUAUUAUUUUCCUAUCUCUUUG
rnacentral:lncRNA from 1 species